rnacentral:misc_RNA from 1 species
GGUCGUAAUGGAGUUCUUAGGUUAUGGGAAGCAACCAUCAACAUUUAACUUUGUUGUAUCAUAUCAUACAUUUAUUAAUCAUUGAUUGAAGGUUCAGGAAGUUGCUUGCAUGGUGAUGAUGUAAAUCCACUUUCUUUCAACCUAGAGAAUGUACAGCGUAUGUUUCGAGCAUGCAAACAUAAAACCCCAAUUUUACCUUGGGACAAUUUUCAGAGUCUUAAUUUGUAUGGUUGAGCAUACAGAAGAGUGUUCUUAUUUUCCAGGCAAAAAUGGAAAAC